GAUGAACGCUAGCGGCAGGCUUAACACAUGCAAGUCGAGGGGUAACGGGAUGGAGUAAUCCCUUGCCGACGACCGGCGGACGGGUGCGUAACACGUAUACACUAUACCAUAUACAGGAGGAUAGUCAGGGGAAACUUUGAAUCAUACUCCAUGGUACAAUUAUGAGGCAUCUUCAAAUUGUUAACGAAGCAGUGCGGUAUAUGAGUCGUAUGCGGCCGAUUAGUUAGUUGGAGAGGUAACGGCUCACCAAGGCUACGAUCGGUAGGGGGUCUGAGAGGACUAUCCCCCACACUGGUACUGAGAUACGGACCAGACUCCUACGGGAGGAAGCAGUGAGGAAUAUUGGGCAAUGGGCGAAAGCCUGACCCAGCCGUGCCACGUGCAGGAAGACGGCCCUAUGGGUUGUAAACUGCUUUUACAUGGUAAGAAUAAGGGCUACGCGUAGCCCGAUGACGGUACCUUGAGAAUAAGCAUCGGCUAACUCCGUGCCAGCCGCCGCAGUAACAC
rnacentral:rRNA from 1 species